GUGAAAGUGGAGAAGAGUGAUCAUUUCCCUCUCUGCAGGCUGGAAAAAAGCAUGUUUGAUGUUUGCAAACAUAACAUCCACACGCUCAUCACUUCUACUAGUUGAAAAUCUAAAUCCAUUUACAUGAGCUUCCAGAGCACCAGGUAGUUUUCUUCCCCGGCCACCAAAUGCUGGACGGAUCCAAAGGUCCGCCAACCUUAUUGGCUUGAAUCUACUCCCAGCAAGCUGAAGUUUCUCCUGAGUAACCAAGGUUGCCCUCUCAGCCCUCUCAGACUCCCUAGCCACAACAUGCCGUCUAAGUGUCUUAAUCUGCUGUACCACUUCACUGAUGUGCCUAGGGUCCUUGGACCGAAAUGAAACUUCCUUCAGGUAAAUAGCCCCUGGGUACUUCAGUGAAUUUGCAUCGUGUGGACUAAAAGGAGUUCCCGGCACAUUAAAUAUAAUACGGAUAUAGCAAUUUCUGUUGGUGUCUUGCUGGCUGGAAACUGUCCUGAUUGUAGCAACAUGGAAAGGUACCAUACUCCCAUAAAUAGGCAGAAGCACAGCCUCAUUCUUCUGGUCUAUCUGAAUCAUUAGAUCUCUUGCAGGAGGAAUAUCAUUGACAUUCUUGUAUGCUAUCAAAUCAGUUGAAGUCUUUGCAGCUCCACGGUUGUCUCCUGUUGCUCUUUCUUCACCAGUAAGUCGCCUUGCAGUUUCUUCAUUCUUUUGACGGGCAAGCUCCGCCUGGUGCUGCCUGCGAAUCUCCUCCUUUGAGAUCUCCCCUGAAUCAGACCUUAGUGUUGUCUUGGACAUGAAGGCCUUUGUGCCAUUAGCCCCAGGUUUAGGUUCUGGUUUUACUUCAUCCUCUUCAGUGAAAGAGUAAGCCACAUCUUUAACAGCUUUUGAGCUCUUACAAGUUGCCACUUCUGGAUUUGUUUGGCCUACAAUAACAGUAUCAGCAACUAAUAGAGAAUAAUUCCGGAUCUUUGGGUUAUUUGUUUGGUUCUGUAAGUUCUGAAAACCGAGUGACAAAUUAAAAAUCAUAUUUGGCCUCAACGAUCGAUCAUUCUUGGCAUUAAGAUUCAGGCCAGACUCACGGAACUCAAGCCCAAUCCCUGUACCUACUGAUUUUGUCAGAUAGGGAACUAAUUCAGGAGCCUCUUUCUCAACCACUGACACAGCUGCUUGAUACACAGCACUGAUCUUGUUCCCAGGCUUUAAUGCACCAAUUGCUGCUUCAUGGGCUUUGAGCAGAACCUCAUAAGCCUUUCUCUGCAUUGGAUUGGCAUCAAUCAAGAAUGUCCUGGCAAGGUUUGAACAGUAAUUGUUAUAUCGGGCUCCAAUUGCAACUAUGAUGACACUGGCAGGAUCAUAGUAGAGAUACUCAUCAUUGCUGGCAGCACUGGGUCUGAGAUCAAAUUCUCCUCCACUUUGAAAUAUGGGAGGGUAACAUAUAUCACAAUUUUCUGCUUUUAACUUCGCCCUAGCUUUGGCAGGAUCCAUUAUGGCCUUCUCUGCGUCAUCCAUCAAAGCAGAAUGGGUAACUUUCUUCUCCUCAUCAAUAGCAUUCUCAAGAGUGGGAAUGACAACAUUGCUCAUCACACUAACACUCAAAUAAGCAGCUUUCUUUACAUUCAAAAUCUCUUCAGCAUCCUUGAAAGCAAGCAGGUCAGAAAACCCAUUAGUUACAUCGGCAAUCUGCUGGAAACCUGCAGUCUUCAGUUUUUCAGCCCAAGUCUCCAAAAGAGUACCUUCUGGAACCUCCUUGGCUAUGUAUCCAACAACACUAGCAUUUGGCUGCGCUCGAAUAGCACGAAAUAUAGCUUCCAUUAAUGUUGUCCCAUCAUCCCCCUUUGCCUUGACAUGAAUAACAACAUCUAUACCUCCCGCAACAUCAUGAGCAGGUGUUCUCAAAACCUCAAGCAAAGCAGCCUUCUUUUGACUACACAAGAAAUGAAUCUGCUUCUUGGUAAAUACCAUUAUAGUGUCCGGGAACUCAUAACCUAGUAACCAAAGAUUCAUGGCGGAUGAUUUCAGGUACCGCAAAUCAUCCGAAGGUGGCGGCGUAGCUAUUGCAAGCGCAUCAGCAGACCCCCAUAGUUCAUCCUUGUGUUUAUUCCAAUGCGAAUACAGUGUCUUAAGUCGUAGUUUGAACUUAUCGGUGUUAAUCUUAUAUGCAUUUUGGCCCCCGCUAGGGUUCCGCUGGUCAGCCAUAUGGGUUCCUCAGCCCUGACAAGCCAAUUUUCAAUCCAGAAAGAAAAAAAGUAAAAGAAAAAUUCGACACCAGUUGUGGUUUAAAACACCUAGUUCUGGCGGCGCCGCACCAUAAUCAGUACGAAAAAGAGAAAAUACUAGGUUUAGGGUUAUGGAACAAGCCAAAACACAAUUGACUCUGGAAUAGAGAAAACGAACAAAAACACAGAAAUAAAAGAAGGAUAAUUCAGGGAAAAAAGAGACCAAGUUUCUCGAAGAUCCAGUAGAAGAAAGAAACUUACCGGAAUCGAAGAACAAGCUUCAAAAAAUGAAAAGGGAGAACUCGAGAGAAGAGAGUGAGUGAAAUUUUUGUUUCCUUUAAUGUUUUGGACUUCCGAACUCAAUAAGAAGUUCUUGCGUAAAUUAGUACUUUUUAUCAAAUUAAUUAAUUAGUUCCCACUUUUUUUUCAAAGUUAAAAUUCAAUUCAUUAUAAAUGAGGCGCACAGUUACAGAUGCAGAGCCCACACACAAAUUGAAAAUAAUCUAAGGCCCAGUAAAAAUAAAAACUAAAUUGUAACCCAUAGCAGAAAAACUCUAAACCCUACAUGUAGAUACGAUCCAGUGCAUCAUAAUUUUCACAGCCUCUCAAUUGAGCUGCUGGUCACCUAAGAAAGAAAAUCACCACCAGGCUUGAUCUGAUCUCCCAAAUAGUAACCUUACAGCCUUAGCAACCCACGCUAAAGCUCAAGAUAAGAUGAAGGCAAGCAGCAAUCCAAGAGAGAGAGGAGACACAAAAGCUCCAUAUACACACAUGCAACCACACUGUUUAUUGACGGGAAAUCUUUUUUAAUAAAAUAAUUUAAUAUUAUUUUUAAUUUUAAUUUAGAAAAUAAAAUAUUAAUAAAUUUAUAUAUGUAAGUGUUGAUAAAAAUUUUAAAAAGUAAAAAAUGACUUAUUUUUAAAAUUUUUUUUACUAUUCUAAAUAUAAAAAAUUAUUAAAAAAAAAUAUUAUUAUAAAAAAUAGUUUUCGUAAAAUAAAUGGCACCUAAAAGUUGUAACCUUUUUCUUUUUCCACUCAUGGUAGUUGAAAUGCUCUCUUUGGUUGGGCUUUGAGUUUGAAUCUUAUUAUUUUGUGGGCGUAGUUAGAGCUUUGCUCUUAUUGGAUUUGCGCGUGUGCCCCUUUAUGAUGGGUCUUACACCAAUUAUGCUUUAAUAAAUCCUAUUUUCAUUUUUGUAAAACAUAUUAUUAGCAUUGAUUUACUCAUUUUUCAAAUUGUGAGAAAUAUCAAUAAAUCUAAAUUUUAUAAUAUCAAAGUUAUUUCGUUUCAAGUUAAAAAAAAUUAGAAACAUCAACUUCUUGUACAUUACAUUCUUCUAUUACAAAGAAAGGGGAAAAUCCAUUAAAAAUCAUUAAUUAGAAACUAUUCUAGGCCAAGCCACGCCUUAAGCAUUCUCUUGAAGUAGAGAAAUAACUGCAGAUAGGAGGAAACUAUAAAACAUCCAAAUUUGAACUGCUAGACCAUUGAAUCAUAACGAAGAACAAUAUUUCAGAUGUACAACUUUAAUCCAUUAAAACUAAUAUCGGCAACUUACGACCAGAAAUCUAUCUUCCAAGCCUCCUACUUGACAUUCAAAAGACAACUGAUUAAAUAAGAACCAUAAGAAUUACCACUAGCUGAUGGCUUCAAUGCAAGCCACGUCAGGAAACUGAAUUUCUAAAGCAAAAUUGCCUGCAGCUGCUACAUAGUACAAAGAAAAGGGGUAAAAAACAUUCUUCACAUCUAUCUGAAUCUGGAACGCUUGGCCAAGCUGCUACUAGGAGGGGCUCGAGACUUCCCAAGUUUCUUCAUUUUCCUUCUAUUCCUCUCCACCUCACUGUCUGACUCAUCCCCUUUCUCCCUGUCCGCAUUGCUUGCUUCCCUCUCUAACUCUUCCCAUGUCUUGCCCUUUUCUUCCUCAGAAUCGUCAUCUGAAUCAUCAUCCUCCUCAUCAUCAUCAGAUUCCACCAAUGACUCACUAUCAGAGUCAUCAUCUUCUGACUCAGACUCAGGUUCGGCGUCUGAUGGCUCAUAACCCUUGUCUGAAUCCUCGGAAUUCUCAGAGUCUGAAUCACUUGCUUCCAGAUUCAAAAAUUCCCAACCCCCUUCAUCUAUGAAACUCUGAGGGUCAUCAGUAAUUGUCUUCAGUAUCUGCCGCCAGUUCAAAUUCAACUUGCUCUCGUAAUACUUGAUGUCUGUAGUGUCGAGCCAUUCCUUUAUACCAUCCAGUGAUGUCGAUGGAAUAGAAUCAAUCCUAAGGACAUCUCGCUUGAAAUCCUUAAACACAAUGGUCAUAUCAAAAUUUUUCUGUCCAAGACCAACUCUCUCCAAGUUCACAAUCUCAAUCUCACUUAGGGUGACAACAAGGAAAGGAGUCUCAAUUAGCUCGACCAAGCAGCUUGAAGUUGGGAUGAUGAAAGAUGAGGUUUUGUAGGGCACCCCAUGGAAGCCAAGCUCUCUCAAAGGCUGAUCAAACUCAAGGUCGAGUCCACUAAACUGCGGUUGGCUCCAGAGAUCGUUCACCCGAUUUACAAAGCUCUGAAAAUCCAUAUUGAUCUUAUUCUUCCUGUCUCUUUCCCUUUGCUCUUCUUCAAUUUCAUCAGGGUCAUAUGCAGACCUCUUUCCGCCUCCCAAAGUCUGGACCGACUCCAUCACUUCUACAUAAAACUGCACAUCCUUGGUUUUCUUGUUCCCUACCAUGAUAUGAUUGUGAAGGUGAAAGUGGAGAAGAGUGAUCAUUUCCCUCUCUGCAGGCUGGAAAAAAGUAUGUUUGAUGUUUGCAAACAUAACAUCCACGCGCUCAUCAUUUCUACUGGUUGAAAAUCUAAAUCCAUUUACAUGAGCUUCCAGAGCACCAGGUAGUUUUCUUCCCCGGCCACCAAAUGCCGGACGGAUCCAAAGGUCUGCCAACCUUAUUGGCUUGAAUCUACUCCCCGCAAGCUGAAGUUUCUCCUGAGUAACCAAGGUUGCCCUCUCAGCCCUCUCAGACUCCCUAGCCACAACAUGCCGUCUAAGUGUCUUAAUCUGCUGUACCACUUCGCUGAUGUGCCUAGGGUCCUUCGACCGAAAUGAAACCUCCUUAAGGUAAAUAGCCCCUGGAUACUUCAGUGAAUUAGCAUCAUGUGG
rnacentral:lncRNA from 1 species